GGACUGCUGGCGGAAAAUGAGAAAAUUCGACCUAUCCUUGCGCAGCUCGAGAAGCUCUUACUUUGCGACCUUUCGCCAUCAACUAACGAUUCUGUCAAAAACUGACGCGUUGGAUGAGGAGAAGUGGCUUAAUAUGCUUGGCACGUUCGUCAAGGACUGGUUAGAUCGGAAGAGCGGUUCAGCAGGAAUGC
rnacentral:rRNA from 1 species